rnacentral:rRNA from 1 species
UACAAUGCAGGUCGCGAGGACAGAUGGGAGCUUGCUCCCUGAUGUUAGCGGCGGACGGGUGAGUAACACGUGGGUAACCUGCCUGUAAGACUGGGAUAACUCCGGGAAACCGGGGCUAAUACCGGAUGCUUGAUUGAACCGCAUGGUUCAAUUAUAAAAGGUGGCUUUUAGCUACCACUUACAGAUGGACCCGCGGCGCAUUAGCUAGUUGGUGAGGUAACGGCUCACCAAGGCAACGAUGCGUAGCCGACCUGAGAGGGUGAUCGGCCACACUGGGACUGAGACACGGCCCAGACUCCUACGGGAGGCAGCAGUAGGGAAUCUUCCGCAAUGGACGAAAGUCUGACGGAGCAACGCCGCGUGAGUGAUGAAGGUUUUCGGAUCGUAAAACUCUGUUGUUAGGGAAGAACAAGUACCGUUCGAAUAGGGCGGUACCUUGACGGUACCUAACCAGAAAGCCACGGCUAACUACGUGCCAGCAGCCGCGGUAAUACGUAGGUGGCAAGCGUUGUCCGGAAUUAUUGGGCGUAAAGCGCGCGCAGGCGGUUUCUUAAGUCUGAUGUGAAAGCCCCCGGCUCAACCGGGGAGGGUCAUUGGAAACUGGGGAACUUGAGUGCAGAAGAGGAGAGUGGAAUUCCACGUGUAGCGGUGAAAUGCGUAGAGAUGUGGAGGAACACCAGUGGCGAAGGCGACUCUCUGGUCUGUAACUGACGCUGAGGCGCGAAAGCGUGGGGAGCGAACAGGAUUAGAUACCCUGGUAGUCCACGCCGUAAACGAUGAGUGCUAAGUGUUAGAGGGUUUCCGCCCUUUAGUGCUGCAGCAAACGCAUUAAGCACUCCGCCUGGGGAGUACGGUCGCAAGACUGAAACUCAAAGGAAUUGACGGGGGCCCGCACAAGCGGUGGAGCAUGUGGUUUAAUUCGAAGCAACGCGAAGAACCUUACCAGGUCUUGACAUCCUCUGACAACCCUAGAGAUAGGGCUUCCCCUUCGGGGGCAGAGUGACAGGUGGUGCAUGGUUGCCGUCAGUUCGUGUCGUGAGAUGUUGGGUUAAGUCCCGCAACGAGCGGAACCCUUGAUCUUAGUUGCCAGCAUUCAGUUGGGCACUCUAAGGGGACUGCCGGUGACAAACCGGAGGGAAGGGGGGGGAUGACGGCAAAUCAUCAUGCCCCUUAUGACCUGGGCUACCAACGUGUUACA